UAGAAACACAUACAUAAUGAAGUAUAUUCUGUAUAAGCUAUCCUACAAAACGUUAUUGCCAAUUUGUGCAGCUGAAAUAAUGCAAUUCGAAAUUUAAAAUACUAUUUUUGAAAACUUAAUUUAAAAACUCCUACUGAAGUGUCUAUACUUUCUAGAUGCAUUUUCAAAAAGUCCUGCUCCACUCAUCACUAUUUCAGAAGAAAACAAAUAUAACAAAAGAAGAAUGUUUUUAAAAUUAUGCAUUUUAACUAGCCUACGGAAAAAUAUUCUUUAUAUCAUUUAGGUUUUUACAAUGGUGGUAAGUUCAACCUGGAUCUUCCCUCUGAAUGCGUUUUUCUUUACUAAAAUGAUAUCAUGAAUGAAACGAGGAUUGCAAAACGAGAGUCUGAAACAUAUCAAUCUGGCCAGGUUGCAAUGUCUCAAAUCGUUUUAUUUGAAUUAUGAUAAGAUUAAGAAUGAUCCACAUCAAUAUUAAUUUCCAAUAAUAAACAAGAAAAUCAUAAAGAAAUGAACAAAUUGUAAAGCAAUGGAAUAAGGAAACAUCUUUUUAAAAAACUGUAGGCAUAUUCAUCCAUAUUACUGCAAGCUAUAUUUUACCAAAAAAUACCUUAUCAGCGGUUAUCAAAUGAAUGAGGUAGUAAUGGUGUUGAUUAAAAAUAAACAAUACACACUGUAGAUAAUAUUGAAGAUGUGGUUACCAUUUGAACAGAUAGGGGAGCCCUGGGUGAUUUCAAACAAUGAAGUAGUUUUAGAUUGAGGUAGACUGGGUGGAAAGUUAUCCAACUGUAUCAUAAUUAACAGUUUUGGAACAUACAGUUGCUGAAAGAAGUGAUGCCUAUCAACUAAGUAAUUAUACAAUAUUUCAGUUCAGAAAAUUCAAAACGUCAUGUUUGAGGCAACUGAAAAAGCACCCAAAAACAAUUCCAAAUGAGAAUCAAUAUUUAUGAUUGGAUUAGAGAGGUAGGAAUACACAAGAGAAGGCUGCAAGUAGUUUUUAUGACUCAUUUAACAGUAAGUCAAUUGAAGCAUAUGCUAUAUUGACACUUGCAAAUUUCUAAUUGAUUCCUAACAGAGCUAUGAAGGAAAAAAUGGAAACAAAAAUAAGAGAACAAUAUUGAAUUUGCAACUUAUUCCUACAGAUUUAAAAACAGUAAUGUUACACAAGUUAAUAAUCUUUUACUGGUACUACAAAUUACAUUGAAAUAUAGAAGUUUCAAUGACACCUAUGCUUAUUAAUAUACAAAACUUAAUUUUACUCUCCAAGACCUCUCAGCAUUUGGAAGAUUAAACAUAAUCCCCAAGACAAUCAUAAUUUAUUGAAAUGUUACAUCAGAAUCUAUAUAAGUACCCCAACUAUAGAGGACAAACCAGAAAAAAAAAACAAAAUCGCAAUACUGUACUACAGUUUCUAUAGGGAGCAACAGAAUGUAAAAAGAUAACGAUCAAUAAAUCUAUAAGAUGAAAAA